GAUGAACGCUGGCGGCGUGCCUAACACAUGCAAGUCGAGCGAUUCUCUUCGGAGAAGAGCGGCGGACGGGUGAGUAACGCGUGGGUAACCUGCCCUGUACACACGGAUAACAUACCGAAAGGUAUGCUAAUACGAGAUAAUAUGCUUUUACCGCAUGGUAGAAGUAUCAAAGCUUUUGCGGUACAGGAUGGACCCGCGUCUGAUUAGCUAGUUGGUAAGGUAACGGCUUACCAAGGCGACGAUCAGUAGCCGACCUGAGAGGGUGAUCGGCCACAGUGGAACUGAGACACGGUCCAAACUCCUACGGGAGGCAGCAGUGGGGAAUAUUGCACAAUGGGCGAAAGCCUGAUGCAGCAACGCCGCGUGAGCGAUGAAGGCCUUCGGGUCGUAAAGCUCUGUCCCCAAGGAAGAUAAUGACGGUACUUGAGGAGGAAGCCCCGGCUAACUACGUGCCAGCCGCCGCAUAA
rnacentral:rRNA from 1 species